UACGAAGGGAGCUAGCGUUGUUCGGAAUCACUGGGCGUAAAGCGCACGUAGGCGGAUGUGUCAGUCAGGGGUGAAAUCCCGGAGCUCAACUUCGGAACUGCCUUUGAUACAGCACGUCUUGAGUCCGAUAGAGGUGGGUGGAAUUCCUAGUGUAGAGGUGAAAUGCGUAGAUAUUGGGAGGAACACCAGUGGCGAAGGCGGCUCACUGGACCGGUUCUGACGCUGAGGCGCGAAAGCGUGGGGAGCAAACGGG
rnacentral:rRNA from 1 species